rnacentral:tRNA from 1 species
AGGCCGUUCGCCAAGCUGGUAAGGCACCACACUUUGACUGUGGCAUUCGGUGGUUCGAGUCCAUCACGGUCUGCCA